GCGGCUUCUACCGCCCCCGGGAGCGCCGGGCGAGCGCCGGGCGCGGGGGUCGCUCCGCCGGGCGGGCGCGCUCAGCAGCGGGGGUGCAGAGGAGGGGCCGGAGGCGGCGAGGCAGUGCGGGGAAGGGGGAGCCUUCGUCCCGCAGUCAUCGUGACAGGACCCGGAGCCAGGGGCGGCGGGAGCGGGGCGGGGCGGGUGCCCGCCGCCCUCCCUCACGGGCGCUGCCCGGCCACCCCGGGGAGGAAAUUUCCCUCUGCCGUGUCCCGGGUUCCCUCCCCCGCCGCCGCCAUUUGCUGGGCAGGAGCGAUGCGGGGAGGGGAGCGGUAGCGAGGCUGGGGCCGGCAGCGAGCGCUCCUUGCCUGGGGCCGGGUGGUCCUGAAACCGCCAGAGGGGCGGGGUGCUGGGGGGCAAACAUCACCAACCGAGCCGCGGGAAAGGGGAGCCAAGCGCGCCAAUUAUGGAUGUCACGGCUCCCAGCAGGCGGUUACAGCCCCCUCCGGGGCUGAUGAAGCGGGCGCUGGCACCCCGAGAGUGGCGCUCAGUCCAUGCAGGUGCCGGUAGCGGCAGCUGGACCCGCUUUCUGUGCUUGCAGUGGCAGCACACAGUGAUUCCCCUUGUGCCUGCCCUCGGCUGUGGCUGCAUGAAACCCUCAGCAGGGACGUGGCAAGCGGAGCAAGCCCACGGGAAACGUGGCAGCGCCAAAGGCGUGGGGGCAGCGGGAGUAAGAGUGCUGCCCCGGGGAGAUUUGCAUGCAGGCUGGAGCCGAGGGUGUUUGUAGCUGUAUGCAAAGCACACAGUUGCUAAGACAGCAGACGGCCAGGGCCUCGCUGCAGAGGCAGGGGCCGGGGUGCACCAUUGUUCUGUCCCACUCAAGGGAGGCAGUGGGGUGACACCCCCUCCCUGACGCCUCGGUGGCGGCAGGGUUCCUCAAGCCUGGGGCACGCCAGACUCGCAGCCUCCUGUCCCCGAGAAAGCAAAAUUCGAUUUUGCCUUCCCAUUUGAAAAAGCUGGCGCCAGCAAUGGGUAUCUUGGCUCCUCAUUUCGUGUAUGGUAGCCUUCACAUGGAGUUUAAACGUGAAUUAAUAGUUGAUAAUGCUAUUUAUUGCCUGUGUUUGAAAGAUGGCCUUGACAGUAAAAAGAUCCCUUUCUAAUGUGUUGUGUAAUCAUCAGAAAAAAGCUCUAGGAAAACAGUUUGUGCAUUUUACUAUGGGCUGUCAACUGAAACUAGUUCUGUAGAAUUUUUUUUUUACUAAAAUACUCACUGAUCAAGAAAUCUUUGUACAGCAACAAGUUAAUCGAGUAGUAAUAUAAGUUUUGUCUUCAGAUCACACAGGAGUCUAUGGAAGGAUACAAAGCUUAGCGUGGAGGAAGAGUCUAGGACUAAACAUUUCCUGUGCUCAGAACCACCUUAUUCUCAGCUUUCUGAAUUUGUCCUGCCUUUUUGACAAAGCAACCCCCAGGUCACUGGGAGAAAGAGAAAUUUGUAAUGAGCAGAAGAGAAACAAACAUGAGGGAGAAUGCUUUGUUCAGGAGAACUGUCUACUUUUAAUUAGAGUUGGAGAAAGAAGUGCUUUAUGAAAACAUAUAGACCAGGUGCUGAAAAUGGGCUUCAGAGGAAAAUACCAGAUAUAGAGAGGAAAGAAUCAUCCUAAUGGAGUUUACAAAACCAUUUGGGGAGAAGCAACAGAAACAGAGCAAAAUUAAGUGCCCUCUCACCUGAGUUAUAAUUGUUGAGGCCAGAGCCUUGAUUAGAACCUGCAACAUUCCUCUGAUGUAAGCUAAAUGCGGAUCUUUGUUUACUUUGCUUUUGCUUCCCCUCCACUAUUUGUUGACCCAUGAGAGAAGCAACUGACCAAGUAAAAGAGGGGUUGGUUGUUGCUUUUGCUCUGAAAAAAAAAACCAAACAAAAACUUCACAGGUUGUAGGAAUUUCUCAAAAAGUGCAAAAAAAAAGUGCAGACACUGUGGAAAGAAUUGACACCAUUGCAAUGAGUGCCAGGAAGCAGAACAGGCUACAAGCAGCUCAUCUGGUAAUACUGAACUAAGCGACUGAGAGGUUCUGUCUCAGUCGCUGAAGAUCCUGGACAUUUGUGAAGUACAGAAAUGGAACGAAAAUGCUUCCCAUUACCACAAAUUUUGGUUUUCCUCUAUUUCCUUCCCAUUUCCUAAUGAAGUUAUAAAUAAACAUGAAGAUUAGUAAAAAUCUCUGGUUUCAGAACAUAAAAAAAGUAAAAUUAUAGGAGAACCAAAACAACCAUUCCCAUCUCAAGUUCUUCUACAUAGGUGUAAAGUUUGUAGGUAUGGUAGCAAGACAAAAAUCAAGACCAGAUUAAAAAAAAAAAAAAGAGAAACAAUUCUUGAAACACUGAAUCAAGCUUUCCAGAACAGUUCAAGAAGGGUUAUUCAGCAUCACAGUCUGUUCUGAAAAUAGUUCAGCAGAUCCACUAACAUAUUGCUCUGGGUCUGCAAAUUCAAUCCAACAAAUCUUGAGUAACUGAAAGUCACUGUUAGUGGGAAGACUCUUUGGGUUAUUUAAUUUUUUUUUUGUUGUAGUUUAGACUUGUUACAUUUUCAGAAUUUGAAACAAUUUGAUCAUUUCCAUAUAUAUAAAUCCAGAGAAGAACAAACAGAGCUGCUGCUUUCAAUAGCAAAUGGAAGAAAUCCAAGUUGUUGCAGUCUCACUUUGCUUUUUCCCUCCUCCCCUCCCCUAACACUGAGCACAGUUAACCCAAUCACUGACACGGUCAGCAGGAAACUCAUCCCUUGACAGAGUAAAACAGUUUGCAGCUAGACCAGUUCCCUGAACCAGCAUACUAUAUAGUUACACAAACACCAGUGCUGUCUCAGGGGACAGGGAGACAACAUGCAGCCAAGAAACAGAGCAGGAGUGCAGCAGAGCAGCCAGAGCUGGCAUAAACUGCUGUGGCACUGCAGAGGGGAGAAGGAUGUAAUGAUACCUGGCUUUUCAAAGUUGGUUCUGUGGAGCAGAUGCCUACUGAACCUCAUGUGUGAUAUCAAGCAAAAUUAAUAAACUUAUAUUUUUAUAAGUGGUUAGACCUAAUGCACAAUGUUCGCUGAACUUGAAACAUAAAAAUAUGCUGACAUGUUGUUUGAGCAGCUAAAUGGUAUGCGAGAAGGAAUGUUGAUGGUAAGCAGUGGCACCAUUGGGUAGUCUAUAUCCAAUGUAAAACAUGCAGGAGUCCUUCCAUGGCCCAAACAAGUCACCUGCUGGGUAGAAGUUGGACAUAGGAAUUGAAGUACUCAGAUCUUACAUAACAGGUUUGCUGUAUAUGUUAUACCAUGAAUAGACUUUGAAGGCUUGGUUUCUAGCAUCACCACUUGCCCAGAUGAGACAACUAGGAACUGAAAUAAUUUAUUUCUCUGGAUGCUACAGUCCAUUAGUCUGAAAAAGGAUAGUACUGAGUCCUGAUGUCAACCUUUUAGAAUCAAAUCAAGAGUCUGCAUCAACAUUAUGCCUGUAAUUUUUGGCUGUUCAUAUCACACAUGUAAAAGCAUGAGCCUUUGAUUGAUUAAGAUGCCUUGAAUUUUGGGUCUUAUUUAGAAAUUCAGCCUAAGGUACCUGAUAGUACAUAGAUUUUAAGAUUUACAGAAAUAGCCGUAAAUAUUUUCAGAAUUCGUGUUAGCACAACUUGUUAUUUAGAAGAGGUAAAUCAUUACUUGCAUUGUUUCUUUUGGCAGCCAACAAAGCCUAUGACAAAGUUUGUAUCUCAGUUAUAUCUGGUACUUCACUGAUACCACCAGCCAUAAUAGAAUCUGCCAGCUGAGCCAGCAUGCGUUGGAAUUCCCAAUGCAAAUGGCUGUUAUUAAUUGGUGCAGGGCAAAGGCAUUCCAUUGCAGGAUGAAUCAUCCUCCCCUUUGGGAGGCAGAAAGCAGAUUGCAAUUGUUUAAUGCUUUACCUGUCACAAAUGCACUGUUCUGACUACUACUACUACAGGUUGCUGUCAGUAGGACUGGAGACACUACGCUCAGAGUGAAGGGUAACUGUAGUUUUUCUGAGAGCAGCCACAGCCGCGUCUUACGUGAUUUUACUUUUGAAAUUAAAUUCUAAUGAGAUGCCUUUCUACCAUGUUUCAAGCUGCGUGGUUUUGACUGUUUAAGAAAAAUAAACCAGCUGCAUCUAUUAGAUAAGCUAGAUAAUGUGCAUAAUCAGUGCACAAGAUCCCAGUUCUUGAUGAUUUUGCCCUCUGAUAUUGUUUCACACAAGCAGCUAAUUUGAAGCAUUCUGAAUUAACAUUGUAAUUAGUAAUGGAAAAGAGACUUCUACAUCAUCACACGUGUGAGAAAUGCUGUGAGGCAGAGGGUAUUCUAAACUUGGUGCAGACAACCUGGCUAGUUCCCCGUAAGCCUUGUUUUCCGUGGCUUGACCAUGGGAAUUGCUGCAGGUAACACACCAUGAACUCACUGCAGUGACUGAGUCAGCCAUGUUCCCUUUCCAUAGGCACUUGCUUGGACAGGUUCAGCAGUAUCUCAGUUUAGAUGAGACUGACUGCCUACAUCCAGGAUGCUCUAGGUUUAAACCUCCCUGACUUUCUCCUGCCUUCCAGGGAGGGGGCUACCUUCCCUCUGAAGAGUCCUGGCCUUCUUUCUGCAGCAGAGUUGCAUGGUUCUUUUAGGGCUUCAUGGACUUCUGAACAUCUACAUUGUUUGUGAUAUUACACCAGUAUCCAUACACAAUUUUAAACAAUAUUUUAUUUAAGUUUCCUGUCUGUUUUGCCACAAGGUUACCAAUUACUCAUAGCACAAAGCAGUCAAACAAGUAAGUGCAAUACAUUAUAGAUAAGACAAGUCAUAUUAUCUGUAUCUUUAAGAAAAGCAAUAUAUAUUUUUAAUCUAUGCUGUAGCAUGAAGAAAAAAAGAGUAAAAAUUAGCAGGCAGUAAAGUGACAAUAUAGUAUAAAGAAAACAGCUGGAAGGAAUAAGGAAGCAUCUUACAUUUCAAGUAUUGAAUGAAGCAACUAUCAGAGUACUAGUUCUAUGAAAAGGGAUCAUGGAUGGCAGUUUUCCAAUCGCUUAUGAACCUAUUAGAAGAAAUGCUCAUGGGAAGUAAACAUUCCCUAUUUAAUUCAUCAUUUACCAGUAAAACAAGUUCUGAUGCCAGUCAAGCAGUAUCAGGAAGGCCAGACUUCUGAGUCAGUGCAGUAAUUCCCCUUUCUAGAUGCAUAAGAAGGAUCAGCAUUUAUUGAGAAACUGUUCUUAAAAACUUGGCUUCUAUGCAACUAGAUUGUUCAACACAAUUUGUAAAGAAUUUGGUAAGUGACAGGAGUAUAUUCAAAAUAUACUUAUCAAGGAGACCAUCCUAACAAAAGAAUUAAUGAAGCUUCAUUUUGAAUCAUGAAAGAACAGGGUUCUUCCUACUUUUACAUGGAAUGCAGAAAUGGAUGGUAGGAACCGUCUCAAGUGACUCUAGAAAACAACUGACUUGCUGGUUUUCCAUUCUGCUCAUGCUUAGCCUUCUCUUUCUCUUUCCUUAGCCUUUCUCUUCCCUUUCUCUUUCUAACACAAAGUUAGAUACUUUGUGUGUUUACAAAUACUGCCCUUAGAUCAGCAGGACUUUUAUUCUAUACUAUUCUAUUAAAUUCUGUAGAUUUCAUAUCAGUAAAUAAAAGGAAAAAAUCACAAUUAACAGCAAGCAUUAUGAGAAGGCACUUACCAGCAAGCAGUGGGAACUGGCCCUACAAAGAGGUUGUGCUGCCAUCCUAUAAUUUCAUCACAAAUUUCAGUAUAUUUGAUUGAAAUGUCAGUUUUUAGCCUACCAAGAAUAGGCCUAUCUCAAUAUCUGCUCUUCUCUAUAACAGUAGCUUCUAACCUCACAUACCUUGUGUAUUUGAAAAUGUGUUCCAAAGGCCAAAACAGCAGAAGAUUUAUAAUAAAAAGGCCUCUUCCUAAUCUCAUGUCUAGGAAUCCACUGGCAAUGGUCUGAUUUUAGCCAGCUAGAAUAAAAAUGAAAUAAUAAAACCUGUUACUGAUAAGGAUAAUUGUUUAAAUGAGAAAAAGACUUCUGCAACCCUCUGACUAGCUGGAAUUCCUUCUUUGUCCUGGGUUGUCCUUGUUAUCAUCUUCAUGAACAUGCAGCAAACAGCAGUCCCCAAAUUAUAGAAAACUAUCUACAACAUUGCCUGUUCACCUGUACUUGAAUACAGGAGAUCUACUCCCACCCUUCAGUAACUCUCCAGUUGCCCACUGUCCUGGUCAGGGUUCAAAAAUAAGAGUUUAGUACUGCAGGAUAGAUCUCUAAAACUAGUGGUAGGCAUGAAACCCAAAUCAAAAUAGCCUUGUCUUCCAUCUUGUCAUCUUAAAAAACAAAACAAAACCCCAAGCAAACAAAAAAAAAAUCUCUCUUCUCCAUAUAGGGUGGUCUCCUCUGAGUAAGUUAUCACCUAUUGAAGAAAGUUGUAUAAUUUAAGAAGAAGUAAUAUCUGAAAAUAUCUUGGCAUAUCUGUCUUAAUCAUAAUCUCUACUUCCUGUGUGGAACUGCUGAUUCUGUACUCCAGUAUUUAUACCAAGUGCCACAACACGGGUGACAAAACUAUAUGUUGUGUAUUACAGAAUUCAUUAGAUCUGGGUACAUUCUAUUAACAAUGUUGGUCCUGGUCUAGCCAAGAGGAUACAGAAUUUAUAACUUCAAAUUCUAAAUGCUUUUGGUACAUCUUUUCAAGUUUACAGGUGAAUUUGUAGAAAUUAUAUUGAAAAUUUAGUAUAAAGCUAUACUUAUGCAUUAACAAAAUGCAAAAAGAUAACUAGUUGCAUUGCAAAUUACUCCAUAAAUCUCUCUCUAGACUCCAUAGAUGUUAUGAUUCAUAAUACAGCACUAAACAUGAUACAAGUGUCAGACUAAAGGGUUGUACCAGAGAAGGAAAUGCAAAGGACCUGGCUGGCUCAAGCCGAGGAUUACGUAGGUCGAGGCGACAGGAAUUUUGUACUUCUUGUAGAGUUUCACUUUCACCUAUGUCCAUUACUCCACUGAUGUUCUGCACCUACAAAAAUUCAAAAGGUUGCCCCUGAAAGCCAGACUGACGCAACACCAAAAGCUUUAUGCAGCUAGCAAAUUCAAUGCUAUUUCAAGUUACCCAACUCAAACUGUAUUGCCAAACCACUUCUGAAUGUGAGGAAAUCAACAUCAUUAUCCUGUUGUUUGCAUUCCUAUCAAACACUUCCCAAAAUUCAGUACAGAUACAUUACAGGCAAGAGUUACAGGUCUGGCUGCUCUGUCUUGGCUCCCUCCCUCCACAUAUGGAUGCAUUAGCCAGUAAACCUUAAGCAAACAAAACCAUGAUCUUUCUUCCCUGAACUCUCAAGACAGGGUUUCAACAUUUCUAAUUUAGAAGGAAAAAUAAAAUUAUUAAAUCUCACAGAUUGGAAAGGUGUGAUGAAUUUGAGCCUCUUCAUAAUGUCAGUCUGCCACCUGAUGAACUUGUCAUUAUGUAGAUAUUUUGGCAGAUUAACUAGAAUAGUACAAAUUUCCCUGAUUUUUGUUCAUCUAACAUAGCUAGAAGGACAAGUGGAAGAAAGGCCACUGUGAAAUAUAUGCUGUCUAUAAGGCUUUGUGUAUAAUAUCUACUUACUUAUCACUGUAAAUAAAAACAGCAGGAGGAAGCAGUCUGGAAAUUUCAACAGAGGCAUGUGAAAAAGUUACCACUGAGGGAGUCCUUACUCUUAUAUGGUCUCCUUCCUCAUCCUUUUGGAUUUGUUUCUACCAUUUACGUUCAAAGCUCAUUGUUAUCUAGUUGUUGUGUUUAUGGCCUGUUAGUGAUCUGGUCGUGGCAUGAGCCUUUUGGAUAGCAGCCCAAUCCCAUGACAAGAAUUAAAUUGAUUUGCAGGAGUCAACAUUCCUUACUGCACCAGCGAACACAGCCAGACUGUGAUGCUGGUACAUCCGCAGUUUCUCCAAACCAUGAAAUGAUUCUAUUUAGAAGUCACUGAUGUGGACUUAUCAGAUUACUGCAAAGAGAGAAACUUCCAAAGAGCUUUGUCUGCUCUCUCUCACUUUCCUUUAUUCUGCUAAUGCUCUCUUGCCAUCUUGGUUUCUUUCCCGGCAUUUGGAAUUACUGAAUUAGGUGCUUACAUUCCCUCAUAUCUCUCUCACUCACUCACUCAACAACAACAACCAAAAAAAAAAAAAAACAAAAAACCAAAAAACACAAAGAAAAAACCCACCCAAAAAAUAAACAACAGGGCACCAACUGUUCCUCUCUCCCUCUUAGUAAGAAUCAAGAUUCAGUUUGGGUUUUAAUCUUACAUUUUCCACUUCCCUGAAGACACGGAGGAAGUUUUCCCUUAACACUCCUUUCAGUUCUGUUUCAUUCCAUCCUCUUCUAAGAAGUUCCUCAAUCAAAGAAGGGUAUUUAGAGACAUCUUCCAAUCCCUCAGGGAAACUGUUGGCAAAAGUCACACAAGAACAUUCAACAUGCAUCACUGAAAAAAUUUAGAAAAAGAUUUUUAAUUAGUCUUUUGCACAUAUUGACUUUUGGAUUGAGCUCACUUUGGACCCAAUUCUUCCUUUCAGAAUUCAACUGACAAACAGAAGCAGGACUGGGACACAACAAAAGGUUUUUUCUGCACAUAGGAUUCCAUAAACAGAACACAACUUGUAUUCUGGAAUGAAGAUGCAUAGGCAUAAUAUAUAAGCAUGUAUAUGAUGUAUAGGCAAAACAACAGCAUGGAAAGAUAUUAAAACAGAACAAAAGGAAAAAAAGAACGCAACAGAAACUCAUGUGUGCAUUAAUCCACUCUUUAUAUUUGGCCUUUAGAGUAAGAGGAAACAGCUGCAUCACAGAUGGAGUUGGCACAAUGCACCUGUGUAACAGAACAAAAGGAAACUUGCAAACACAUGAUGAGCAGAGGAGUUGCAGGCAAUUUUGUAGACUUUGUUGGUUGCAAAGUAGUUUUUCCAAAGGGAAUAUAAUUAGAAUAAUAAUAUUGGUUUGAAUUCAGCCAUUUAGGAAGUGAGAAGCAACCUAUUUAGAGCCUUCUACUGAAGAAAUUACAAUAAGCGAAGUUGAUCUAUGUCUUGUGCUAAUUCUUGUCAGAAUAAAAAGAAAUAGAAGUAAGAAGCUGCAAAACCUGCAUUAAACAGCUGUUUAAAAUUCUAUUUUCAUGAGACUGUGACAUUGUUUUGAGAUAACUAAUAUUUUUGUUAUUUUUCUGUUCUGUGGAUGUGUGGUGAUAAGUAUAUCUCAAGAAAUCUGUACUACCAGGAGUUAGGACCUUAACCACUCCACCACCAAUUUGACUGAUGAUCUUUGAAAAAAUGCAUGCAAUAAAAUGUGUCCUUUUGUUGCAAA